ACUGUUUUCAAGGAUUAUAUAAACAAACGAACUCGUGAGGGAAAUUAAAUAGGCUUCGCAACUAACUUAAACACAAAGAUCACAAUUUCCCAGUGCCUAACAGUGUGCUAUUACAGAGGUUGCCACUUGAUGUCCAAUGUAAAAUCCGGAUCAUGACACAAAACCAACUGAGAUCCACUGCUAUAAAACCAACACACCGUCUGAGGAUAAUUUCAGAUUUCCACAGGCAAGUCGACCAUGACAAAACCAGAACAAAGUAAAAAGACAAUUCAGCCUGAAUGAUACCUGAGGUAACAAAGAAAAAUCAUGUCAUUUUGAGGGAAAGAGGUAGAGGGUCUGUAUACAGAGGGGCUGUAGCAGGAUUUGAUAUAGCAUGGUUAUGCUUGAAAUCGACUCUGAAGCACAGCCUGCUUGUGUCAAGCCACUGCACAAAGAUCAAUACUUGUUCAGUACAAACAUACAAAAUAAAAGCCUGUUCAUGGGCCAGCUUUUCUCAUGCCUUGAGGAUCUACAUUGA